AUAUUAUCGUAGGUUCCCUUCAAUCACUUCACGUGGCACUAUUUUAAGGCCUACUUUAUGAAGUAUUUGGAGGAACUCUCGGUGUCAC
rnacentral:pre_miRNA from 1 species